GCCGGGGGUGCUCGCAUCCCCUCCCUCCUCCUUAGACCUCUCCUUCCAGUUCCAUCCUGUCUCCCCCCCCCCCCCCCCCACCCCCUGGCACGUCUGGUAGUCCGGGAGCUUAGGGAUCUCUGUGACCUGAUUUCCAUCCACUACCAGGAACCAACCUUGCAGCCCGGAGCCGGGCGCGAGGCUCUCAGGGGUGCUCGCGACGCGGGAACCCCUCGACUCGGCGCCUCCCGCCGCCUCCCGCCCGCCGCUCCAAGUCGCUGCAUCCAAGACAGCCAGCGCCCUGCUCUGCACGCCCACAGCGGGCGAAACGCUUUUCCCGCUCACGUGCGGAAGUGCAAGCUUCGAGGAAACCCCCGUGAAAAGAAACACCCAAGCACAACCCGCGCCCCCGACUCACAAAGCGAACACUCCCAACCCAGCCAGCGGCGCGGAGCCGGGCCAACGCAGGAAAAGAUCGUACUUACAGCCGAUCCUUUGGAAUCUUGGAACCUAUUUCCAAAGCUUUAUAAUGCACACCAAAAAAAAUCUGAUACUAAAGGGUUUGAUAUGAUUAGCUGAAGAACCUGCUUGGAACGGCUCCCUUCCACAUAGUAAGACUAAGUGUGAUCUUGUUCUUGCUUUAAUGAAGAAAUAGCAUGAUAAUGCAGCAAACACAAAAAGCACAUAGUGUUUUUCAGUAUCACCCUUGCAAAAAUCAAUUUUUUUCCUAGUUCUUAUACAUACAGCAUAAAUUGCACAGAAAUGUCAUGAUGGUAUAGGUACUGUUCUGAAUCUUGCUUUUUACUUUUAAUCACAGGCCUAUCAUUUUUUUCCCAUAUUGCCACAUAAUUUUAAAAAUUUUACUUUUUAAUGGCUGUAUAAUAAUUUAAUGGGUAUAUUAUACGAAAGCAUUUGGCUAUCAUUGGAAAUUUUAGUUGUUACUUAUACAGCAGUGAAUGUCAAUGCAAAUAGCCUUUCCUUUAUUAUUCCAUGAUGAUGCAUUCUGAUGUUUGGGAUUCCUAGGUCAAAGAAUAAGGAAAUUUAAAGGAUCAUAAUAUGAAUUGAUAAAUAACUUCCCAAAACAUUGUGCUGAUUUGUAAUAUCAGCAACAAUGUGCAUUAGCUUCACUGGAUUAUGCCAGCACUGAACAUUGUUUUUGGAAUUUUAUUGGCUGACUUUAUAGGUAUGAAAUAUUGCUUCAUUGUUUUAACAUAAAUUUAAUUGAUGAUUAGUGUGGUCGAAUAGUUCUCUAUGUGUUUACUUCUAAGUCAGAUUUUUUUUCUUAUCAGUUGAUGCUCCUAGCCUUUGCCUGUUUAUAUGUUAAGAUCUUAAAACAGUUACUUUCUAAAAAAUUUCCUGCAAUGGUUUAAAUGAUUUUUAAAUUUCUAUCUUAAAAGGAAAUUCACAUUUCUGAUGAGUCAUUCACUAAGUUCUAAGACUAUCAUGAUCAUCUGUCAGUAUUGCCAGAUCAACUUGUAUUAAAAAGAGAUUCUAGGGGAAAAAAGAUACUAGAAAACCCCUUUCUGUGUAAAUAUGCAUAUGCACUCUAUUUACUUCAGGUCCUAAGUAUGCGAUGUAU
rnacentral:lncRNA from 1 species